ACCAGAAGAGUCGCCCCCUGCUGGCCGUUUGAUAGAAUGCAGGUUUAAGGGACUUCCGCAAUGGAGUCACGUCUCAGACCAGAAACUUCCCCCUUGGGUUUUGAACAAAAACUGUCUGUGAUUGCUGACAGUGCUAUGUACACACAGACUUUGUCAACAUGUCGAUGCAGAGGCUUCAAACUCUACUUUAUUAGAAGUGGUGACGGGUGUACGGGAGUCAGGAGAACAGCUGCACGACACCAACCACAAUCACCUCCGCCAUAAAUACCCUGACUUGUAGACAAUACUCCCGAGUUUGUUAUGUUUGAGCUCGGUGCUGGACCCGACGCUGGACAACGCUCCACUCCUGCCUAAGCCUGCUCCUCGGACUCUGGAACUUUGGACUCGCGGCUGGAUCCUAAACCACUGGACCUCGUCGCAGUCUCCUCGUCAGCCUCUCUGUCCGGCCCGGUUCUGCUCCUAGCAUUGUCCUCGGACCUGCCCCUCCCCUAACCCCGGGCUCUGCCCUUCCCAUUCACCUUUGGUAUCUGCAGAAAUAAAUAUUGUUACAUUUACCAGUCCUGGCUUUGAGUUGUGGGCCUGGACUCAUUUUUUUGCUAGCCUGUAACAGGGAUGCAUUCUGAUCAGAUACUAAACCACCUCAAUUCAUGGCCACUGGCAGUGAGGAGUGGUAAUAAGGAGAAUUGGGAGAAAUCCUGCUAUGCCACUAAGACUUUGAAUUUAUAUUUUACUGUGGGACAACUAACAAUACUAUGUCUAGCAGCGUCCCACUCUGUCUACUCAUACAAACACACACACUGUUAUCCUUUUAAGCAAGUCAGUAGAGAGGUUAAUGAGCAGUCCCUGCCACCAGCAACAAAUGUCCCAAAAUUUACAGUGAAACAAUUUAUUACAUGAGUACCAACCAGUUUCCUAUGCAGAAGCCUGUAGACCUUCUUCCGACGGGCACGGUCAGCCCUCAGGCGUUUGGCUGCAUGAAGAAGUGAUGCUAUCCACACAGACUGCCGAGCAUGAAUUAAGGAGUCUCACAGUCUAUGCCUUGGGGAAGAAGCUGCUCUGGAGUCUGGUGGAAUGACGGAGGAUAUUUCUGUAUCUCUUCCCAGAAGGCAGCAGGGUGAACAGGUUGUGGCUGGGACCACCAGCCCAAAGCCCGGACUCAGCUCUGCCUGCCAGCCCAGCGCUAUCCAGAGCACCGGAACUCGGACCCAAUCACUGGCCCAUCGGAAUCACCUACAACGCCCUGGCCCACUUUGUUUGUGCUGAGCUAUCAAUAAAUAUCCCUUUGUUUGAACA